UGCUUUUGACAGUGUUAUCAGUGAUUCCAAGCUCAUGUAAUGUUUAAUAAUUGUUGGGUAAAUUAAAAAUGUAUCUAUCUAUCUAUCUAUCUAUCUAUCUAUCUAUCUAUCUAUCUAUCUAUUCAUUUAUUUAUAGGUGCACAAUGGUCACUUGUUGUGUUAAAGGCUGCACCAGUCGCACAUCAACAUCGGGCCCGAAGAUUCCCAAUAUCUCUUUUUAUCGAUUUCCAACAGAUCCUGUUUUGCGGAAAAGGUGGUUAAACAGGAUUAAUCGCAAAGAUUUUUCACCAACCAUUCACUCCAGGGUAUGUUCCCGGCACUUCCAGCUUAAUUCAGCGGUUCCGUCUAUAUUUCCAAAAGGCACACAUAUACCUAAGGGAUUGCUGCUAAUCAAGUUUUUGCACCACGAUCUUCGUACGAGGAUGCAAAAGCAGUUGGCUGUUUGGUCAAAUGUAGCAGAUUUGAACUGUCAAGUUGAGAAUUUUGUAAUUAUUUGUAAGUUAAAUGUUUGUAAAAUAUAGGAGCAGAGGCUUCAUCAUUAUCUGGAUUGCAUUUUGCAAAAAGGAACCAAGGGCAUUUCAAUGUUCCUUGGAUUGUGCAACUUACAUUCUGUGCAAUAAAAUCACUGGAAUCAUACAAAAAAAUCAAAUAUACUAAGGGAAUUUUCAUCUUGAAUCUAUAGUUUAUUGGGAGUAAAGAUAAAAUUGUUUUAUAUGAUUAGUUUAUAUUUACAAGAUAAAAGAAGUUGCUGAAUCUUAGCGAUAUCAGAAUGCUCUUGGUUCCUUUUCGCAAAAUGCAAUCCAUCUAUGCCAUAUUUUUGAGAGUAUCUCAUCCAAGCGAGAAAAUUCUCAUCAAUUGAAUCGUUGAUUAAUUUUAGAGUGACGGGUGGAUCAUGUCAAGAAAUUUGAUCUGAGUUCCUUGGAGCAGAAUCAGUUCUGUCCUUUUUUUUUAGAUAUAUUUAUUUAUCUAAUAAUGUUUUUGCAUAAAUAUUGCAAAUAUUUACAUGGGUUUGGCCGUUAGAGUCCUGCUCAAAAGUAUCAUCACGUAAUAUUUUCUCAUUGUUAGAGGUUACAAAUUUUUUUGUGAUGACCUAAUAUGUACGGAAAUCAUUCUCAAGGUUUAAUACAUGCUAACCGAUCAAACAUUUUCCACGCUCAUUGGAGUAAAUUAAUUUGUACCCUUUUUAUUGUUCUGCGUAGCCGUUAAAAUACAUCGGCUUAUUGUUGACAUCUAACUCUAGUCUCAAACGAAUUUCCUGAGUAUUUUGAUCUCAACUCUCUUCCUAUCCUUUCUAUUUUUAUGAGGAUUCUUUUCUAAGUUAUGUAGGUACUUUAUUUUUAUUGGAAUCUUCCUUUUCCUCAUUAGGAAAGCUCUGAAGUUAUGACUUCCAAAGUCCAACUUGAAGGAAUGUGCUGAGCUAUCGCCUUCUAUCAGACUAAAAAAGACAGUCUCGUUAGGCUUCUCUUUGUAGCCUGUUCACUUGUAUCAUUUCUCAUCUCUCAUCAUGUUUAAAUUAUGUUUUUUUGUGCAAUAAACUUGCUCUUUUUUCACUCUCCUCAAGUUAUUCUCUUCUCAUGCAUUCCUACUGGAACUUGAUAUUUUGAACAUCAAAUUAUGGAGUCAGAGACAUACACAAAAAUAGCCAGAAUAAUUUUAGGAAAAACAAAAUAGUUAAAUGGGUAACCAAAAAAAAUGAAAACUCCAGCCCUAGAGGGUUUUAAUUUUUUUGGUAAUUUUAUAUUUUUGUAGGCCUGGUUGAUAAAGGGGUUGAGACCACCCGGAAACGCCCUCCUAGGCAUUUAUGUAUUAUGUUUGUCUCUAGCCAUGGAUGCCCACUUUAUUUUGUUUUUCAUUCAAUUAUGUGGUAAGUUGAUAGAAAUAAAAAUAAUUACCUAGGUUUAUUUUUAAUCUAACAGAAGUUAUUCAUUCUGCAACA
rnacentral:lncRNA from 1 species